rnacentral:rRNA from 1 species
UACGUAGGGCGCAAGCGUUAUCCGGAAUUAUUGGGCGUAAGAGCUCGUAGGCGGUCUGUUGCGUCCGCUGUGAAAACUCGGGGCUUAACCCCGAGCCUGCAGUGGAUACGGCAGACUAGAGGUAGGUAGGGAGAAUGGAAUUCCCGGUGUAGCGGUGAAAUGCGCAGAUAUCGGGAGGAACACCAGCGGCGAAGGCGGCACG